rnacentral:rRNA from 1 species
GGGUUUUUGAUGGAGGGUUUGAUCCUGGCUCAGGACGAACGCUGGCGGCGUGCUUAACACAUGCAAGUCGAACGGUAAGGCUCCAGCUUGCUGGGGUACACGAGUGGCGAACGGGUGAGUAACACGUGGGUGACCUGCCCUGCACUUCGGGAUAAGCCUGGGAAACUGGGUCUAAUACCGGAUAGGACCGCACCGUGAGGGUGUGGUGGAAAGUUUUUUCGGUGUGGGAUGGGCCCGCGGCCUAUCAGCUUGUUGGUGGGGUAAUGGCCUACCAAGGCGGCGACGGGUAGCCGGCCUGAGAGGGUGGACGGCCACAUUGGGACUGAGACACGGCCCAGACUCCUACGGGAGGCAGCAGUGGGGAAUAUUGCACAAUGGGCGGAAGCCUGAUGCAGCGACGCCGCGUGGGGGAUGACGGCCUUCGGGUUGUAAACUCCUUUCACCAUCGACGAAGGGUUUCUGACGGUAGAUGGAGAAGAAGCACCGGCUAACUACGUGCCAGCAGCCGCGGUAAUACGUAGGGUGCGAGCGUUGUCCGGAAUUACUGGGCGUAAAGAGCUCGUAGGUGGUUUGUCGCGUCGUCUGUGAAAUUCCGGGGCUUAACUCCGGGCGUGCAGGCGAUACGGGCAUAACUUGAGUACUGUAGGGGAGACUGGAAUUCCUGGUGUAGCGGUGAAAUGCGCAGAUAUCAGGAGGAACACCGGUGGCGAAGGCGGGUCUCUGGGCAGUAACUGACGCUGAGGAGCGAAAGCAUGGGGAGCGAACAGGAUUAGAUACCCUGGUAGUCCAUGCCGUAAACGGUGGGCGCUAGGUGUGGGUUUCCUUCCACGGGAUCCGUGCCGUAGCUAACGCAUUAAGCGCCCCGCCUGGGGAGUACGGCCGCAAGGCUAAAACUCAAAGGAAUUGACGGGGGCCCGCACAAGCGGCGGAGCAUGUGGAUUAAUUCGAUGCAACGCGAAGAACCUUACCUGGGCUUGACAUAUACAGGAUCGCGCCAGAGAUGGUGUUUCCCUUGUGGCUUGUAUACAGGUGGUGCAUGGUUGUCGUCAGCUCGUGUCGUGAGAUGUUGGGUUAAGUCCCGCAACGAGCGCAACCCUUGUCUUAUGUUGCCAGCACGUUGUGGUGGGGACUCGUAAGAAACUGCCGGGGUUAACUCGGAGGAAGGUGGGGAUGACGUCAAAUCAUCAUGCCCCUUAUGUCCAGGGCUUCACACAUGCUACAAUGGUCGGUACAGUGGGUUGCCAGUCCGUGAGGGCGAGCUAAUCCCGCAAAGCCGGUCUCAGUUCGGAUCGGGGUCUGCAACUCGACCCCGUGAAGUCGGAGUCGCUAGUAAUCGCAGAUCAGCAACGCUGCGGUGAAUACGUUCCCGGGCCUUGUACACACCGCCCGUCACGUCAUGAAAGUCGGUAACACCCGAAGCCAGUGGCCUAACACAUUUU